UGAAACACGGACCAAGAAGUCUAGUAUGUGCGCGAGUCAAUGGGUGCAUAAACCUACUGGCGUAAUGAAAGUAAAGGUCGGCUCGUUCGGCUGAUAUGUGAUCCGUGACUUCGGUCGCGGCGCAACAUAGCCCCAUGCCGUCUGCUUGCAGUGGUGUGGAGGUAGAGCGUACAUACUGGGACCCGAAAGAUGGUGAACUAUGCCUGAGCAGGAUGAAGCCAGAGGAAACUCUGGUGGAAGUCCGAAGCGGUUCUGACGUGCAAAUCGAUCGUCUGACUUGGGUAUAGGGGCGAAAGACUAAUCGAACCAUCUAGUAGCUGGUUCCCUCCGAAGUUUCCCCCAGGAUAGCUGGAACUCAAUAUGCUGUUAUAUUCGGUAAAGCGAAUGAUUAGAGGAAUUGGGGACGAAAUGUUCUCAACCUAUUCUCAAACUUUCAAUGGGUACGAUGUUGCGGUUGCUCGAGUGAACCGUGACUGCGAAAGCGAGCUCCAAGUGGGCCAUUUUUGGUAAGCA
rnacentral:rRNA from 1 species